GACGAACGCUGGCGGCGUGCUUAACACAUGCAAGUCGAACGGAAAGGCCCUGCUUUUGUGGGGUGCUCGAGUGGCGAACGGGUGAGUAACACGUGAGUAACCUGCCCUUGACUUUGGGAUAACUUCAGGAAACUGGGGCUAAUACCGGAUAGGAGCUCCUGCUGCAUGGUGGGGGUUGGAAAGUUUCGGCGGUUGGGGAUGGACUCGCGGCUUAUCAGCUUGUUGGUGGGGUAGUGGCUUACCAAGGCUUUGACGGGUAGCCGGCCUGAGAGGGUGACCGGCCACAUUGGGACUGAGAUACGGCCCAGACUCCUACGGGAGGAAGCAGGGGGGAAUAUUGCACAAUGGGCGGAAGCCUGAUGCAGCAACGCCGCGUGCGGGAUGACGGCCUUCGGGUUGUAAACCGCUUUCGCCUGUGACGAAGCGUGAGUGACGGUAAGGGGUAAAGAAGCACCGGCUAACUACG
rnacentral:rRNA from 1 species